rnacentral:rRNA from 1 species
CCUACGGGUGGCAGCAGUGAGGAAUAUUGGUCAAUGGACGAGAGUCUGAACCAGCCAAGUAGCGUGAAGGAUGACUGCCCUAUGGGUUGUAAACUUCUUUUAUAAAGGAAUAAAACGAGGCACGUGUGCCUUUUUGCAUGUACUUUAUGAAUAAGGAUCGGCUAACUCCGUGCCAGCCGCCGCGGUAAUACGGAGGAUCCGAGCGUUAUCCGGAUUUAUUGGGUUUAAAGGGAGCGUAGAUGGGUUGGUAAGUCAGUUGUGAAAGUUUGCGGCUCAACCGUAGAAUUGCAAUUGAUACUGGCAGUCUUGAGUACAGUUGAGGUAGGCGGAAUUCGUGGUGUAGCGGUGAAAUGCUUAGAUAUCACGAAGAACCCCGAUUGCGAAGGCAGCUUACUAAACUGUGACUGACAUUGAUGCUCGAAAGUGUGGGUAUCAAACAGGAUUAGAUACCCUUGUAGUC